UGGGGAAUUUUGGACAAUGGGCGGAAGCCUGAUCCAGCCAUGCCGCGUGAGUGAAGAAGGCCUUCGGGUUGUAAAGCUCUUUCGGCCGGGAAGAAAUCGCAUGGGUCAAUACCCUGUGUGGAUGACGGUACCGGAAUAAGAAGCACCGGCUAACUACGUGCCAGCAGCCGCGGUAAUACGUAGGGUGCGAGCGUUAAUCGGAAUUACUGGGCGUAAAGCGUGCGCAGGCGGUUUGGUAAGUCAGAUGUGA
rnacentral:rRNA from 1 species